GCGAAGUGGCAUGAGUUACGCAGUGAUCCAAGUCCGGCAUCUAAACACCAAUUUGUUUCCCAAUAUUACCCUUUUAACAAUGAACGGCCAGGAUUAUCACUUGAUUUCCAUUUAAAACAUUAUAGAGAAACACCACUGCGAGACCUUCCUCCCCGACCGCUGCCUCUGUUCUUCGAUUCCCUUUGGAAGCUUCCGCCUCUCCCUUCUCAUCUCUAAUCUCUCGCUCCUACCUAUUUCAUCAGAUCCCUCCAAGAGCCUAAUUAAGCUCCUGCCUCCCGGCCUUGUUCGAGGACCAGCAAGAAAGAAGAGGAGGACAUCGAAAGCUUGCAUCCUUUUGGGAAGGGAAGUUUCUCCGAUCAAUCCAAGAAGGAUCUGAGCAUGGAUUCGUUCGUUGAUGUUCCUCUUCCCAUGGAUAAGCUUUCUUUGGGGGCUUUAGGUGAAGCCGGCGCCUCUGAAACCGGGAAAAGGAAUCAGAUUUUUGUUGUUCUGGUAGCAACAGGAAGCUUCAAUCCUCCAACUUAUAUGCACUUACGCAUGUUUGAGCUAGCAAAAGAUGCAUUGAAGGCACAAGGCUGUUCUGUCAUAGGAGGCUAUAUGUCACCUGCAAAUGAUGCAUACAGGAAAAAGGACCUUUUGUCAGCCAACCAUCGAAUUCAGUUGUGUGAGCUAGCUUGCAAAAGCUCGUCCUUCGUGAUGGUAGAUCCAUGGGAGGCAAAGCAAAACAGCUACCAGCGUACACUAACUGUUUUGUCUAGAAUUAAGAGCUCCUUGUGCAAGACUGGAUUGGUCAGUGAAGAAUCACUCAAAAUAAUGCUUUUAUGCGGUUCUGAUCUGCUUGAAUCUUUCAGCAUUCCUGGAUUCUGGAAACUUGAUCAGGUCAGGACAAUAUGUAGAGACUUUGGUGUCGUCUGCGUACGCAGAGAAGGGAAGGACAUUGAGAAAAUAAUAUCCAGUAAUGAAAUAUUAAAUGAAAAUAUGAGUAAUAUCAUCUCAGUGGAUGAGAUAGUACCAAACCAGAUCAGCGCAACAAGAGUGAGAAAUCCUUUUCCAUGAAACCCCAGAAGAUGUCAAAUGAACUUGAGAUGAGCAAAGAAAUCUCUGAUGAUGAUAAUCACAUGCUUAUGUAAGCUCAACCAAACAGAACCUACUGUUGGCCUGAUGAUCAUCUUGAACACAAGAGAGCACGAAAACGAGCAACUUUUGUCCAUAGUCUUGAGCUUUACCUGACCCAUUCACAGGGAAUGCAUAAGGAGGGGGUUGUCAAUUAAAUAUCUGACGCCCGACGAAGUCAUUGAGUACAUCGAGGAUCAAAAACUCUACCUGAAGUCAAAUGAUGAUUGAUGCUGUUAGAUCGACGUGAUUCAAAUGUUAGGUGGGGUUUAUCCCCUUCCUUUCAGUCAAAAAAAAAAAAGAGUUAAAUUUUAUUAAAAGACAAACUGUGAAAAAUAUUUAUGUUUCCAGCGCCUGGAUGCAUUCUAUUCUCUCUUUUUCUGUAUCAUAUCGUUCUACCAGUGGCAUAGACUUUAAUAAGUUAAUUUUCGUUUAUGAGCGUA